CUUAGGAUCCUAUAAAAUAGAAUUAAUCUAUAAGUAGCUGAGUAAUCUAAUUGCUUUGUGAUUUUA
rnacentral:tRNA from 1 species